GACGAACGCUGGCGGCGUGCUUAACACAUGCAAGUCGAACGGAAAGGCCCUGCUUUUGUGGGGUGCUCGAGUGGCGAACGGGUGAGUACCACGUGAGUAACCUGCCCUUGGCUUUGGGAUAACUUCAGGAAACUGGGGCUAAUACCGGAUAGGAGCUCCUGCUGCAUGGUGGGGGUUGGAAAGUUUCGGCGGUUGGGGAUGGACUCGCGGCUUAUCAGCUUGUUGGUGGGGUAGUGGCUUACCAAGGCUUUGACGGGUAGCCGGCCUGAGAGGGUGACCGGCCACAUUGGGACUGAGAUACGGCCCAGACUCCUACGGGAGGCAGCAGUGGGGAAUAUUGCACAAUGGGCGGAAGCCUGAUGCAGCAACGCCGCGUGCGGGAUGACGGCCUUCGGGUUGUAAACCGCUUUCGCCUGUGACGAAGCGUGAGUGACGGUAAUGGGUAAAGAAGCACCGGCUAACUACGUG
rnacentral:rRNA from 1 species